rnacentral:rRNA from 1 species
UGGGGAAUAUUGGACAAUGGGCGAAAGCCUGAUCCAGCCAUGCCGCGUGUGUGAAGAAGGUCUUCGGAUUGUAAAGCACUUUAAGUUGGGAGGAAGGGUUGUAGAUUAAUACUCUGCAAUUUUGACGUUACCGACAGAAUACGCACCGGCUAACUCUGUGCCAGCAGCCGCGGUAAUACAGAGGGUGCAAGCGUUAAUCGGAAUUACUGGGCGUAAAGCGCGCGUAGGUGGUUAGUUAAGUUGGAUGUGAAAUCCCCGGGCUCAACCUGGGAACUGCAUUCAAAACUGACUGACUAGAGUAUGGUAGAGGGUGGUGGAAUUUCCUGUGUAGCGGUGAAAUGCGUAGAUAUAGGAAGGAACACCAGUGGCGAAGGCGACCACCUGGACUGAUACUGACACUGAGGUGCGAAAGCGUGGGGAGCAAACA